UACGCACGCUGGCGGCGUGCUUAACACAUGCAAGUCGAACGGAAAGGCCCUGCUUUUGUGGGGUGCUCGAGUGGCGAACGGGUGAGUAACACGUGAGUAACCUGCCCUUGACUUUGGGAUAACUUCAGGAAACUGGGGCUAAUACCGGAUAGGAGCUCCUGCUGCAUGGUGGGGGUUGGAAAGUUUCGGCGGUUGGGGAUGGACUCGCGGCUUAUCAGCUUGUUGGUGGGGUAGUGGCUUACCAAGGCUUUGACGGGUAGCCGGCCUGAGAGGGUGACCGGCCACAUUGGGACUGAGAGACGGCCCAGACUCCUACGGGAGGCAGCAGUGGGGAAUAUUGCACAAUGGGCGGAAGCCUGAUGCAGCAACGCCGCGUGCGGGAUGACGGCCUUCGGGUUGUAAACCGCUUUCGCCUGUGACGAAGCGUGAGUGACGGUAAUGGGUAAAGAAGCACCGGCUAACUACGUG
rnacentral:rRNA from 1 species